UUGCUUUUGGAUCCAGAUUCUCGUCCGACAAUGAGAGAGGUGGUCCAGAUCCUCUCGACCAUCGCACCCGAAACAUCCAGACGUAGAAAUUUCCCCGCCAAUCUUUUCCAGAUGCCAUAUUCCGACCAGAAGAGAGAGAAGAACAGCCAUAACGAAGAUGAAGCGGUCGAUCUGACAGAGCCUCGGUUCGAAUCCUUCUGCGUGGCACAUGUAAGGCCGCCGGUCUUGAUCGAACCAUCUUCCCCAACUCAAAGUACAUAGAGAAGCCAAAAAAAACUGCGAACAAAUAAAAAGAGAAGGGCCUCGUCCAAUUGUUUCUGCAAAAAAAAAGAAAGAAGAUAAUUUAAAGCCUGUGGUUGGGGUUUCAUGGUGCUAGGGUUUGGUUUUGUCGUUUUCGUCAUCUCUUUCUCAUGUAUGUUUCUUGUACAGCAAGUUUCUAAAAGUGUUCAAGAGUUUUUGCAAAAGCCAUGUCUUUUAUUUUUGGUCCAACAAAACAUUAUGUUUAUGUACGUUCAUAUCAUGUUUCAAGUUCUUUAAAAGGUAAAAAGGUUUUAGAAA